rnacentral:rRNA from 1 species
UACGUAGGUGGCGAGCGUUGUCCGGAUUUACUGGGCGUAAAGAGCGCGCAGGCGGUCGUACAAGUCGCGUGUGAAAGCCCCCGGCUCAACUGGGGAGGGUCACGCGAUACUGUUCGACUCGAAGGCAGGAGAGGGAAGUGGAAUUCCCGGUGUAGUGGUGAAAUGCGUAGAUAUCGGGGGGAACACCAGUGGCGAAGGCGACUUCCUGGCCUGUUCUUGACGCUGAGGCGCGAAAGCUAGGGUAGCAAACGGG